rnacentral:tRNA from 2 species
GCGCCCGUAGCUCAGUGGAUAGAGUACUGGCCUCCGAAGCCAGGAGUCGUGGGUUCGAGUCCCGCCGGGCGCACCA